rnacentral:rRNA from 1 species
AGGGCGCAUGGUGAAUGCCUUGGCACUAGGAGCCGAUGAAGGACGGGACUAACACCGAUAUGCUUCGGGGAGCUGUACGUAAGCUAUGAUCCGGAGAUUUCCGAAUGGGGCAACCCAGCAGUUUUAAUCAACUGUUACCACUAGAUGAAUUCAUAGUCUAGUUGGAGGUAAACGCUGUGAACUGAAACAUCUCAUUAGCAGCAGGAAUAUAAAGAAAUUUCGAUUCCCUAAGUAGCGGCGAGCGAACGGGGAACAGCCCAAACCAAAGUGCUUGCACUUUGGGGUUGUAGGACUGAACAUUUGAGUUACCAAAGAACUUGAUAGUCGAAGGAUUUGGGAAAAUCCGCCAUAGAUGGUGAUAGCCCAGUAGAUUAAAUCAAAUUCUCUCAGUUCAGGAUCCUGAGUACGGCGGAACACGUGAAAUUCCGUCGGAAUCCGGGAGGACCAUCUCCCAAGGCUAAAUACUACCUAGUGACCGAUAGUGAACCAGUACCGUGAGGGAAAGGUGAAAAGCACCCCGGGAGGGGAGUGAAAUAGUUCCUGAAACCAUGUGCCUACAAUAAGUCAGAGCGCGUUAAUGCGUGAUGGCGUGCCUUUUGUAGAAUGAACCGGCGAGUUAUGAUCCCGUGCAAGGUUAAGACUAAAAAGUCGGAGCCGUAGCGAAAGCGAGUCUGAAAUGGGCGUUUUGAGUACGAGGUUAUAGACCCGAAACCAGGUGACCUAUCCAUGUCCAGGUUGAAGGUGCGGUAAAACGCACUGGAGGACCGAACCCGUGUAAGUUGAAAAUUGCUGGGAUGAGGUGUGGAUAGCGGUGAAAUUCCAAACGAACUUGGAGAUAGCUGGUUCUCUCCGAAAUAGCUUUAGGGCUAGCCUCGGAAUUAGGAUCAUGGAGGUAGAGCACUAUUUGGACUAGGGGCCCGUCUUGGGUUACUGAAUUCAGAUAAACUCCGAAUGCCAUUGAUUCAUAUCCGGGAGUCAGACGAUGAGUGAUAAGAUCCACCGUCGAAAGGGGAACAGCCCAGACCAUCAGUUAAGGUCCCUAAAUGUAUGCUAAGUGGAAAAGGAUGUGGAGUUGCAUAGACAACUAGGAUGUUGGCUCAGAAGCAGCCACCAUUUAAAGAGUGCGUAAUAGCUCACUAGUCGAGUGAUCCUGCGCCGAAAAUGUACCGGGGCUAAGCAUACUACCGAAACCAUGGAUGCGACCAUUAGGUCGCGUGAUAGGAGAGCGUUCUAAGGGCGGUGAAGCAAGAUCGUGAGGACUUGUGGAGCGCUUAGAAGUGAGAAUGCCGGUAUGAGUAGCGAAAGAUAGGUGAGAAUCCUAUCCACCGAAUGACUAAGGUUUCCUGGGGAAGGCUCGUCCUCCCAGGGUUAGUCGGGACCUAAGUCGAGGCCGAGAGGCGUAGACGAUGGAUAACAGGUUGAGAUUCCUGUACUAGUUAAGUGCGUUUGAGCAAUGGAGGGACGCAGGAGGCUAAGAUGUGCAUUCUGUUGGAUUAGAAUGUCCAAGCAGUAAGUCUUGUGAAGAGUCAAAUGCUUUUCACUUUAAGGACAAGCUGUGAUGGGGAGCGAAAUUUAGUAGCGAAGCGUCUGAUGUCACACUGCCGAGAAAAGCUUCUAGUGAGUACUUAACUACCCGUACCGCAAACCGACACAGGUAGUCGAGGAGAGAAUCCUAAGGUGAGCGAGUGAACUCUCGUUAAGGAACUCGGCAAAAUGACCCCGUAACUUCGGGAGAAGGGGUGCUGAUCGCAAGAUCAGCCGCAGUGAAUAGGCCCAGGCGACUGUUUAUCAAAAACACAGGUCUCUGCAAAAUCGUAAGAUGACGUAUAGGGGCUGACGCCUGCCCGGUGCUGGAAGGUUAAAAGGAUGGGUUAGCUUCGGCGAAGCUCAGAAUUGAAGCCCCAGUAAACGGCGGCCGUAACUAUAACGGUCCUAAGGUAGCGAAAUUCCUUGUCGGGUAAGUUCCGACCCGCACGAAAGGCGUAACGAUCUGGGCACUGUCUCAACGAGAGACUCGGUGAAAUUAUAUUGUCCGUGAAGAUGCGGACUACCCGCGACAGGACGGAAAGACCCCAUGGAGCUUUACUGUAGCUUGAUAUUGAGUGUUUGUACAGCUUGUACAGGAUAGGUAGGAGCCAUAGAAACCGGAACGCUAGUUUCGGUGGAGGCGUUGGUGGGAUACUACCCUCGCUGUAUGACCACUCUAACCCGCAUCACUAAUCGUGGUGGGAGACAGUGUCAGGUGGGCAGUUUGACUGGGGCGGUCGCCUCCUAAAAAGUAACGGAGGCGCCCAAAGGUUCCCUCAGAAUGGUUGGAAAUCAUUCGCAGAGUGUAAAGGCACAAGGGAGCUUGACUGCGAGACAGACAGGUCGAGCAGGGACGAAAGUCGGGCUUAGUGAUCCGGUGGUACCGUAUGGAAGGGCCAUCGCUCAACGGAUAAAAGCUACCCUGGGGAUAACAGGCUUAUCUCCCCCAAGAGUCCACAUCGACGGGGAGGUUUGGCACCUCGAUGUCGGCUCAUCGCAUCCUGGGGCUGUAGUCGGUCCCAAGGGUUGGGCUGUUCGCCCAUUAAAGCGGUACGCGAGCUGGGUUCAGAACGUCGUGAGACAGUUCGGUCCCUAUCCGUCGCGGGCGUAGGAAAUUUGAGAGGACCUGUCCUUAGUACGAGAGGACCGGGAUGGACAUACCUCUGGUGUACCAGUUGUGCCGCCAGGCGCAUCGCUGGGUAGCUACGUAUGGAUGUGAUAAACGCUGAAAGCAUCUAAGUGUGAAACACACCUCGAGAUGAGAUUUCCCAUUCCUUUAU